rnacentral:lncRNA from 1 species
UGCCGUUAGGGUUGGUAUUUAUGUUAUUUAUAGAUAAAAAAUACAAUGACCUGGUUCAUAAUCAAUACCAAAUCCAAAUAAAAAUCUAAGGAAACGACAGGAUUUCCUAAUUUGAGCUCUCUUCCUCUUCUUUUCCAAAUGUCGUUGCUAAGAGCUAUCUUCAAUUUGUGGAUCCGUCCGCCUGUUCUCUGGGUCAUUAAUUUUUUCUGAGGUGAAACUGAUAUUUUUAGUUCGCAAAGGUUUGUGUUCAUUUUCUCUUUGAUUUCUCCAUUUGAGAAUUGUGCUCCUUACCUUCCUCAAAUGAUUAUAUAUAUAUAUGUUUUCCGGUGGAGAAAGUAGAACCCAUGGUGGAUUAGAUAGAGGUUCUUAGUGUCGUUAUUUGAGGAUGGAAUUUCUUAUAAGUGACUGGGCUUAUUUUUCUCCUCUUUCUGCUUCCUAAUCUUACUCCACGAUCUUAUUUGCAGCUAAAGUAGUAGAUGGGAUAAUUGCGAUGCCCCAGAUUUUCUUCUUUUGGUGCUCCUUUUCAGUGAUAGUGUAGAUCCUUCCCAUUUGACUCUGAAAGCCUCAAUUUUUGUUUCGACUCUUUUCAUAAGAUGACAUAAGCUUAAUCUAGGUAGCUUAGUAUUACUCACAGUUGUGAAGCCUUUGUGAUGGAAAAAACUUAUUCUAUACAUAUCAUGAUUGUGAGACCUUGAUGUGUGGUCCUUAGUUCUGUGCAUUCUGGAUUAUUUUAUUUUUCUGGAUCUGAUCCUCAAUGUUGACAUUUGUGCUUUAUCUAUGUUUAAGAUUUUGUUGCCUUCAACUGGUAGUUGCUGGAAAGUAUAUCCUUGUAAGAAAUUUCCAUACUCUAAUGUUGUGUUUGCCAAACUGCCAGGUAACCGAUUUGCUUCUAUAAAGAUAUGAUUGAUGAUUACUUGCAUAUCCAUUCUUAAUUAUUGCACUUCCUCAAACAUAUCUGUAAUUUGCCAGGGUAUCUUUCAUUCCCUCAUUAUCGUAUUUCUUAGACUAGUGAAUCAGUUUUCAAAAUAAUAUGAUGAAGGUUAAGAAGUUUGAACUGUCUUAAUGCCCAUGACAGUGGUCUCUACUUCCAUUUUAGUGAUGAUUCCUAGGGUGUUUGUCUUUACAUAGGUCAAAUUUUCAUGGUUGUCUCUAAUGCAAAAACGAUAGGAUCCAUUUCCAAGAUUUCCUCUACUAGCACCAUCAGUAUUGCACUUAACCUAUCCAGUGUUGAAGAAUGUCUUUUUUAAAGAAUUUUAGGCUUAUAGCUUUGAAAAACUCUCACCUUCUUACCAAAGCUUUGGCACUUCUAUCCAUGGAAAUUUGAUCUUGACAAGUUGGUAUAUAGUUAUCUGACUAUGAUGGAGAAGCUUAUGAUAACUAUACUCUUUAUUAUGCCUUCUUGAGUUUCUUUUUUUCCACAACUCCACACCAAGAUUGGUGGAACAGGCUUGAAUAUAAAUUUCAGCUUUGAUAGAGCUGAGGCGUUCCAUCACCUUGUAAUCAACUGUUGUAAAGAAGCAUCAACAAAUCCAAUUCCUGCACAUGAAGCAAAAUAUUUUUAUAGCUUUUGGGCUACGGGAGCUGUUAGAAAAAGGCGAGGCAUUGUUUUCUGCUCUUAGUUUUCACACUAAUAACAUAUGGAUGCUAAAUUGAUCCUCAUCCUUCUAAUAUUGACUUCAGUAUCAAUUCUUCUUUUCCCUAUCCGUUAAUGAAAGAAGUUAAUCUUAAGAGGCAAUUCUUAGAUCUAGAUAUUUAUUAACGGGUCCUGCUCGUCCCUCUUACUUCUCAUGAUUCUAUAUGCCGAUUUGAUUGAGAAAAGUCCACUAGUAUCAACCAUCCACCGAGGAUUAUCAUUGACAUCCCCACCAAAUUAAGACUUAUAUUCUUAAUGAUAUGCUUUUUCAUCUCCUUAAAAAUACUUUCUAGUAAUAUCUGUUUAUCCCACUCUCUAUUUUUUAUGAACCAAGUCAUCUCUAUCUCCCCUUCUUCUAUAAUAUUCUCCUCAAGAAAAUACAAAGCACCUUGUUUGGUCCAAUUGUCAAAAAAGAAAAUAGAAUUUCCAAACUUUAGUUGCCACCAAAUAUCAUGCUCAACCUCUUCUUUUACACUCAUCAUUUCCUCCAUACAUGAGAUGCACCAUCUCCUUAGUUAUCAUAGGGUGCGAUUUCUUGCAAUACUUGUGCAGUCCCUUCUAGUUAUUUUUUAUAUUUUCACUUAUCUUCACUGUUAGGGCUUCUCCAUAGCUGCUUCAAGUCAUUUAUGACUUAUUGGGAUUGGCCGUUCGAUUCUCGGACAGUUUAUUUAAUUUUUUGAAUCAAUUUCCUAUUUAGAAGUCUUUAUUGGUUUUAAACGGCUACCAGGCAAAAACUUUAGUAAGAAAAUCUUGGAUGCCAAUUUUGACUGCGACAACGGAUCUUGAAUAUCGAUUUUAGGCUAGGUAAAUCCUUGUUUUGGGUCCCAAUGCACCCGAGCUCAUUUCGACCAAUUGGUCAAAAAGUUGAAAAAUCAUAAAGUAUGGGUAUGGGUUCCACAAUUGUUCUACACGACCUUGGGUGGAAAAUUCAACUUCACCAAUGUGUCUGAAAUGUUGAAUUUAGUAGUGUUACAUAGUUUGUUUGAGAAAAUCGGAGUUCGAAUGAGUUCGAGGUGUUGGUGCUAGUGUAUGGCGAUCGCGAUGAGGCCUAUUGUGAUUGCAAAAUCGCGAAAGUGACCCCUAGAUGGAGAUUGCGACUUCUCUGUACUGGUAUGGGUAUAAAAGGGCACCUUAGUCUGUGUUUUGGUCAUUUUGACUCAUUUUUGGGACCUAGAAACCCUAAGAGGGUGUGAUAACUCAAAAUUGAGUCUUGUGGGUGCCUUGGGAGCUGGAUUAACAUAUAUUAUCGUGAUUAUCAUCCAAAUUAAGGUUAUUUCAUCACUUUAUUGAUGAAUUUCUUAGUUUUGACCCCAAACCCCAAAUUUUUUAGGGCUUGAUUUUAGCCCCAAAUUAGCUUUGUUUUCACCCAUUUCGUGUGGGUUAUGAUUCUUUGAUUAUAUAUGAGCAUUAGGUAGACCUUGAAAAUGCAUUUUUCAUAAGUGGGAUCCACUUAGAGGUUUUUGGUGUUGUUUUUGGACCUGAAGCACAAUAGUGCAAUAUGGACAUUAUUAUUCUUGUAUUGAUGAGUAGAUUAUGAUUUUGAUAGUGUGAUGGCAUGUUGGCAUUGUGAAGUGGAGAUGAACGUUGGUGUAUGAUGUAUGAUUUUGCAGUUUGGCUUUGAGGUAGGCUUCUACCUACUCUACUUUGAAGAGGAUGUGUGUUAUAUAUUCCAUAUGCAUGUGAAUGUUAGGAUUGAUUAUAAAUAGAAUGGCUUAGUUUUGGUUAUUGAGGUUUGGGGAUUAGAUGAGGGUUUUGGACCAGUAAGGUGAAAUGCUUAUUACCUUUUUGAAUCCUAUUGCCUUCUCCCUAGAUUGAACUAGUUUGUUGUAUGGAAAUGUUAUGAUGCUAGGUUUGGGAUGUGGUUCAAGUGUUGGAAUCAUGGUUAGUGUGAUUAACCUUAGUCUGACUUGUGUAGUGAUCUUGAAAUCGUAAUUUGGCUAAAGUUGGCUUAAAUGACUAUUUUUCUCGAUGAAGUUCUUAUCGUAGGAUUGGUUAUGACUUGCUUGACAUCUAGAAGUAUAAAUAGAUACCUUAGCCUAAUUUGGGGUAUAAGUUGCCUAAUUAUAGAAAUUGAAGAGUAAAAGUGGUAUCAUCCGACCCACUUUGACCAAGAUUUGUGUUAGCCCUUGUGGACUUAGUUGCUGAUGAUAGACAUAGUUGAGACUAUUAAGCCCUUAGAAUAAGCUUACUUCGUGGCUUUGAAAAUUUGUGAUUUAUUUUCUCCCGGAUGAUGAUUAAUGGCUUAUGGCUGUGGUAUUCCUUCCUCUUAGAUAUGAUAAUUGGCCUAUAAAGAUGAUAUUUCCUCUAAGACAUGAUAUUGGACCUCUAGAGACGUUAUUUCUUCUUAAAUGCGGUAUUAGGCCUUUAGAGAUGUAUUUCCUCAUAGAUAUGAUAAAUGACCUUUAGAGAUGUGAUUUCCUCUUAGAUAUGACAAUUGUCGUAUUAAGAUGAUAUUCCUCAUAGUCAUGAUAUGUGAUCCAUAUAUGUGAGAUGCCUUAUAGAUGCAAUGUGCCUUAUCGUUAUGAUUUAUGGCCUAGUGAUAUGUUAUAUCACCUAGAUGUGAGAUGCCUUAUAAUAUUCCUCCCAGAUGCGAGAAGUUUACAAAUAUGCUUUGUGGCCCAUAGAUAGUUUAUGCCUCGUAUUUAGGCUAUGACUUAUGAAUAUGAGAUGGCUUAUGAAUAUGAUUACUGCUAUGAGUUUCAGAUAUGUAUGUGGGCCUAAGGCCGUGAUAUUAAUGUUUUGAUUAUCCGAAUACAUUAUUGGGAAAAAGACAGUGUUAAGAUAUGAGUUGGAUAUCCGGGAAGUAUUUAUCCUGGUAAAGGAUACAAUUGUAGUUCAUGAAUAUAUAUAUGUGUGUGUGUGAGAGAGAGGGGGGGUAUGGAUGGAGGAAGAUGCGGUAUGUCAUUUACGACUUCAUUGAUAUGGAUACUGGUGAUGGCAUGUAUAGAUCCGGUACAUUCAUGGUCAUUAUAUCUGUAAAUGAUGUAAUUCUAGUUAAAAUACGAUCCUAUGACUUUUUUUCCUAAAUAAGAGUUAAAGACCCAUUAUUCAUCUUAAAAACAGAUCUCUUUCCAAUAAUAACUGUCUGAAUAAAUGGAUAAUUUAUAUAUAUAUAAGAGGUUAAUAAUGAUGUUCUUAAAAAUUGACCGAUACAAAUUUCGAUCCAUGAUUUGACACUAUUAAUUACUCCGAUCAUGAGAAAUUCUGAUCCCUUUCUACACUUUUAUAAUGAUUUAGUCCCGAAGUUCACUUCGGGCAAUUAACUUAUAAAUUUACACCCUUUUCACCCCAACUUAAGCCCGUGCACCUAUUAUAUAUAUAUAUAUAUAUAUAUACAUUGAUGAUUCUGAUGAUGUGCUUAUUGAUACCCGACAAGGCCGUAGGAUAUUGUGAUGAUGAGAUGGAUACCCGACAAGGUUGGGGGAUACUGUGAUGAUGUAUUGAUACUCGACAAGGCUGGAGGACAUUGUGAUGAUAUAUUGAUACCCAAUAAGGUCGGAGGAUAUUGUGAUGAUGUAUUGAUAUCCGACACGACUGGAGGAUGAUUAUGAUGAUGAUAUUAUGAUAUUGUGGAUUCUAUUGCAUUCAUACUUGCAUGCGCAUCAUCUAUCACCAAUAUGCUCCUAUGUUUAUCAGCCGGUACGGGACUGUUGCAUAAAUAUGGGUGAUGACUAUGACUUGUGUUGUUGUAUGCUGAUUGAGCCUUUCGAGCCUGGGGCGGUGGCAGUAUGCAUAGGCUCGGUUAGAUAUUUGGUUGUCCGAAAUAGUCGGUUACUCACGCUGUUAUUGGUGUUGUUAUUAUCAUUGUUAUGAUCGCUAUUAUGGCUAGUUUAUGACAGAUUGGUCAUUGAUUCAGUAUCGAGACUUGAGGUAUGUUUUUGGCCUCUUCUACCUUACGAUUGUAUUAUUAUGCAUGAUUAUUUCAUGUCUAGCCAUGUGGAUUAGAAACCCGGCGUAUGAUAACAUUAAAUACUGAUAGGAUUAUAAUGAGGUCUUAACAUGAAGACAUGAUGAUUUAGGUUAUGACUUGAGUUGACACUAUAUGUAUAUAUAUGUGUAGCUAUAUGUAGCUAUGGUGCUACCGUAUGUCCCCUCCUUCAUUCGCUCAUAUUGCUCAUAUUGUAUAUUCAUUCCUUGGCCUUGUAUAUUAUUAUAUCCUUCUUUUGCCCUUUAUUCAUAUAUUGACCUGGGAUAUACGGUAUAGUAUUGAGAUUCACGAGUAUAGAUGGAAUAGGACAAUUCAUCCUUGAUACUUUCUUAGCCUCAUUAUGUUAGACUCUUGGACAUGAAUAGGAUAGUAGUUCCUUAGUAUCUCAUUGGCUUGCUGAAUAAUUUCUGGACUCUUGAGUAUAGUUUCCAUUCUGUGUAUAUAUUGUAUAUAUCUGCUUUAUCUUUGGUGCUUAGUUGACAGUUGCCUACUGAGUACCAUUCAUUUGGUACUCAUACUAUACUUCUGCAGCCUGAUCAUAAUACAGGUUAUUGCCGUUGAUGUGUGCGUUGUGCGGAGCAGACCUAGAGUGAGCUCCUGACAUUUAGAGUAUUACUUAUAUCUCUCUUAUGCAUUAAACUAGUCUCUAUAUUGUAUUCAGAGAUAAGUUGUAUCAGUGUAAUUCUUUGAUAUUUCAUUUUUAUACUCUUAUUAUAUUAGAAUCUUUUGUACUGAUACCAUUAGGUUUUGGGAUUUAUUCAUUUAUUUUAACUUUUGUUAUAUUUAUUUUGCAUUCCUUGCUUAAUCUAUUUGGCAGUCCGUUACUAGUCGUUCUGAACUAUGGUUUGGCUUGCCUACAGGUGGGUUAUAGUAGGCGCCAUCAUGACCUAAGAAAUUGGGUUGUGAAAACUUGUUCCCCAUGAAGGAACUUUAUAGAUAUAAAGUUGAAAUCCUAAAAUUUCACCAUAGUUUGGAAAAUAGAGCCUUAGAUACAUCAUGUAGGGAUCUAAAUUUAGAGCCACCUUUAUCCUGUAGAAAACAUAAAUCUUCUCAGGCCACCCAAUGAUUUCCUUUUUUUCCACCUGUCAUGCUCCAGAAGAAUUUGGCAAAGGUAUAGUGAAGAAUUUGGCAAAGAAGAAUAUAUAUACAAACACAUAUAUACGUAUAUAUACAUAUAUACAUAUAUAUACAUAUAUAUAUAUAUAUAUCAAUUUCUUCCUUCCUACUACUAUUGUAUUUGUAUAUCUCUUUCUUCACUAUACCAUCAUUUAUAGACUAGCUACUUAUGGAAACGCAUUUCGUCCCUAAUUACUGGUAGUAUUUGAUAGUUUACCCUUUUUCAUUAGCAUUAUUAGAUUUCGUUGCCUAAAUAGUUUUUUGUUCUUUAGAUCUCAAUUAGUUGAUGCCUACUGAGUACCUCAUGUUUAGUACUUAUACUAGACUUUUGCAGCCUAAUCAAGGUAAAAAUUCUUACCAUUAAUGUGCGUGUCAUGCAGAAUAACCAUGGAUUGGAGAUUUGGAGUGAGAUCCUAACGUUUGGAGUUGUUCCUAAUCUCCCCCUUAUUGUUAGACAGAUCUCUAUUUUUAUAUUUUAGAGACAACUUUGAAUCUAUUUACUCUUUAUUCCACUUUGUACUCCUGUUGUAUUAGAAGUUUUAUACUAAUUUCAUCAGAUUUUUGGGGAUGUAUAUAUGCGCUAUACUGAUAACCAUAUAUGAAGGUACUACUCUGAGGGAGCUACCUAACUUCACCGGGGUCAUACAUAGUAAGGGAUCUAACAAUAGAAUAAUGAGGGUCUCUAGCCGAAAUGGGAAUAAUCAGAAUAUACUCUAACAAUAAUAAACUUAACAUAACAAGGUGACAAGGGAUCACAAAUGCACCGAUAACCUCGGGCACCAAUCCAUAACCAAUCUACCGUAAACCAUUCAAUAACAACCAACAAUAACGUAACCAGAUAGCUCAGACAAUCAAUAGCCCAACCAGGACCUCAUAAGCCCAGAGGCACAAACAAGCAAUCAACAGACAAUAAUCAUAACUUGUAUCUAUACAGCUCCCCAUAAGACUAAUAAAUACAAGUGCCAAACAAUAAUAUUUGUGACAGGCAAUGCAUAUUAAUGAAUGCAAGGAUAAAGCAGUACCAUCAACAAAUCAAGUGCCAUAAUGUACCAAGUGCAUACACCUUUCUAACUUAGUAGCUCACAAAGGCAGAAUCUAUGGCGACUAUCUUUCUCCAAUACUAUGGCUCAUUGAAUGAAAGGGGCCCAUAAGAGACUCAGAAUGUCUCUAUACACAGCAUGCUCCUAAACCAAGACUUCCAAAAUAACCAUCAUAACAAAUCUACUCCAUUUAGUAUUAGAGAAAAAUAAGAAUAUAAAGAAAUGUUCAAAAUUGAACUGAGACUAAAUCUGUAUAAAUCUAUAAGUCUGUUGUCCGAGAUCAAAUCUGGGAUUAAAAUGGUAUAAUAAUAUAGAAAGGGUAUGAAUCUCUCGCACCAAAGUGCAUAAGUAGUGGUAAAAAGGAGUGGAUCAAUAACGGACUUGAAUCAACUUCAGUCUAUGUUUUCAGGGUAUUUUGCUUAGUUUAAAUAUCAUAAUCCAAUAAUAAGGAUAGUAUAAUUUUCAAUUUAAAAGAAUUAAUUUUAGAAGUAAAAAAGUGAGAAUAAUUUUUUUUUUAGAAAACAAUAGUAAAACCAAGGUUCCAACUGAAUCGCACAACUAAAUAAGCAUAAAUGCGUCUAAAUGUAUGAACGUCAUCGCGAGUAUCCAAACAACAUAAUCGUAACCAUGGACUAGCGCGGUUUCUAAUGUUAGUCCUUUGGACUACACUUUCAUGGCUCAGCUACACAUCCCGCUUUAAAGCCCAAUUUAAAACCAUCAUUUCACAACACAACCAUUAAGCCAAUUACUUAACAAAGUCACUUCGUUGGUAUUGUCUUACCUUCACCACUUGUAAGCGUACAACAUGCCAUAACCUUUAUUAUUCAACUUUAGGACUCGAACACAUUGUCUAUACAAAUCCAUCAAUUCAAUUCAACAUUUAAGGACUCAAACUUAUUAUCUAGUAGGGACAUAAAUCAAUUUAAUGUUUAGGGACUCAAACCCUUUUUAGCCAAUUGAACCACCAAGGUUACCAUGACCAAAAAGCCUUUCACAAAUCCAUUUACCAACAAUUCAUAUUCAUUAGGCCAAUGCCUUAGUUAAAAAACACCAUUAAACAUGUGACUAGUUUGUUCUCUUAGACAUUUUUACAAACACUUUGAGGGCAUACCAUUAACAAGACCAAGACCAAAGUAAAAACCAUUUAGUUUAGGAUGAACCAUUACCCAAUUGUUAAACCACAAUUACCAAGCACCCACAUGUGCAAACCAAUAUCAAAAACAUGUAUAAACACAAUUCAAACCAGGAGUAAAUAAUACUCAACAAUAUGCAACAUGUCCCUCAACAUAGGUUUUCAAAACUACCAUUAAUAAACCAUAAUCAAUGUAAACACAUGAUAUUUGAGAACUAACAAUAAAGAAAGAGUCACAUGACUUAUUCAUGAAGAUUGAUGGAAAGAACUUGACUCUUGAUCCUCUAGAUAACACCUUAUAGAAACCCUAGCCUAAUCUUUAAGAGAGUGUUUAGAGAGAGUUUUUUGGGGGGGGGGGGGGGGGUUUAGAAUAAAACAAUAAUUUACAUCACUUUAGCAACCUUUGACCGCCGGGACUUAAGGGUUUUAGGGUAAAAAAUAUUUGUAAUACCCUCAGCUUAAAAGAGAAAAAAUGGUGCAUAGGAGGGUAUGACCAUACACCCAAACCGUACCCACAACAUACGAGUAGUACACACUACUCAUAUCCUUGGCAAUAUCUUGGACCCUAAAACUUUCAAAUAUACGAUCACAAGGACCAACUCUUAUCCAAUCAUACGAGUGGUACCCAGAACCGUACCCUAGGAAGAAUAAAAUCAUCUAGGCUAGACAUAGGACAUCAUAAGGUUUAGCAUCAUACUUCUCAUACCCUAACAUACGACUAGUAUGAUCUCCAUUCAUAUCUUGGACAAAAGCUAACCAAACCACACUGAUUAUCAUAUGAGUGAGGACCUUAAGUUGUACCUACAUCAUACGAUAAGACCCUCAAGUCAUAUGAUUCCAGAAGCUCAAACUUAAUAAAUUUUCUAAGGGAUCAAAACUAGGGUGUUUCACAUAUGCAUCAUUUCACUUGUUUAUUUUAUUUCUUUAUAUUUACUGGUUGUUAUAUAUCUGUAGUUGAAUUAUGUUUUAUGUUAUGUAUGUGCAUUGGAAAUACUAGAAAUAUUGGAAAUAUAGAAAACCUGGAAAAUGCUAAAUAUUGGUAUGAGAUAUUGGAUAUUAUGGACCUUCAACAAAGGACUAUGCCGAGAAGACUCGAUGACUGUGUGUCAACCUUAAAGUUGUGUGCCAACCUCAAGGUUGUGUGCCAACCUCAUGCAUCACCAUUAUCAUCAUCAUCAUCAUAUUCAUUGCACUUGUUUUAUUGUGUUUAUGUUGUGUUUGUAUUGCUAUAUUGACUUGUCAUCUAUCUAUUUAUUCUAUGUCUUGACUUGCUAUUAUCUCAUUAUUCUAUCUUCCUCUAUUUGUACUUGAUGAUCUUGAAUAUACAUGUCCCUCUUUUGUUCUACUUGUAUGUGAUGUUGUGCAUAUUUUUAUCCCUAUCUGGUGUGUUGUUGUAUAAUUUGUGGAUAUUUUAGAACUAUUAGUGCAAGUGGUAUGGGCAACAGUUGUGGGACAUUUUCUAAUUGAGGUGGCAUGCCCUUAGUAUGUAUUUUGUAUUAUUUAUUUUCUACUUUACUCGGCCGACCUAUGAUACCUACUGAGUAUAAGUGGACUAUACUCAUGCAUAUUGCGCCCUUUCGGUGAAUGUCCUAGUUUGAGUGCACUCCAGCUUGGUUGAUUCGGGCGAGAUUUAGUGCUUUCAAGGUAGUGGAUGACCUUCAGGAGUCUUGAUGUAUUCUACUACCUUUCUUAUAGACUACGUAUUUACUUUCAUUUCAAAAUAGAGUUUUCAUUUGUAAUUGAACAUCUUACGUAUUUUAUUUGGAUUCGAGUUGUACUAGAUGUGUUCUUAUACUAUUAACACCAGGUUUUGGGAGUUAUGGCAGCAUAUGUUGAUUUUAUUCUUUCUGCUUUUAUCAUAUCUAUGUGGUUAGGCUUUGUUUUAGAAGCCUUACAUUGGAGGUAUUUUUGUCUUUUCCCCUUUGUGUAUCAGUUUGGGUGAUAGGCUUAGUUGUCAAGGUUCGCCAAGACAAGUGCCAUCAUGAACCUUGUAUUUUUGAGUCGUGACAAAGGGAAAACCUAAAAAUAAGAUCCAACACUAUUUUACAUGAAUAUAUAAAUAAAUACAAAGGAAAUAGUAACACAGGGAUCAUAUGACUAUAACUACAAGAAUGGCCCCCAUAAGCAAAUAAGUGUGGAAAAAUAAAUAACCCAAUACAGACCCCUAUGAGCCUGGAGGGUACAAUCAAAAAGGUAAAUGACCCUAAUAACAAUAAUUUACCAAUUACAUACCAUAACCAAGAAUCCGUCCAAACCAAAUCAUUUCAUAAAUAAGACCCAAAAUGUCGGACUUAUAUCGAAAAUCAAUAGUAUCAUCACUAUUACCAUCAUUCCUCGAACUCGAACAGAACUUAUACAUAUCAUCAACAUCAUCAAUUGUCAAACUCAAACCAAAACUCAUAUAUCAUUAGACCAUGUAAAUAAAUUGUAAUCAUAAGACAUAUCGUGAAUGUGAUGACAUUGUCAUCGCUUUUCCUUAAAAUGUUUUGUCUAAAUCGAAACAAUUAUCUACCGAAACAUACACAAAAUUAAUACUAACUCCCAGCUACCGAACUAGCAUAAUCAAUAAGCAUCUAGUCUCUUCAAAGUCCCAAAAUAGAGAAAAUGAGCAGAAAUACAGAAAAUGAUUAGCAGGGAAAUUACGUAAUACUUAAUCCUACCAGGGUAACUUAAAACAAUAGUCAACACUAGCCACUUCAUGAUCUAUAAUUAGACAGAAACACUUAUAUAAAAAAUGCACUACUCAGCAUAGACACUUCAAGCAUAAUCACACUUAAUCAACCAACAGUUAUGGGAUCAAAUAAGGAUAGAGUAUAUACAGAUUAAAUAACAUACUACCAAAGGUGUAACCCAAUGAUCUAGACAACCAUAAUAAUUUUAUACACUCACACCUAUAUAAUUCACUAUCCAAAAAAAUUCGCACUUUAACACUCAUAUCCUUGCAGAAUUUUGUUUCCUUUUCUUCUAAAUAACCAUUAAUCAUAUAGCCUUACCCCAAGUCUCAUAAUAUCUCAAUCCCCAAAUACAUAUCAGAUGAUGUAAAGUAAGGCAGUAAAAUGAAAUGGAUGCUCAAAAUACAUUAUCACAAAUAAGCUUCUAACAUGAUAAUAGAGUACAAGAAUAAACACCAACACAGUAUCAACCAUACCAAGAAGGAAAAUACAAUGCAAGUGAUGCAAUUUAAUGUAGAGAUAAUAAUGAUGAUGAUGAUGGUGUGAUAUGCUCGAGGCAAUUACAUCACCUCCAUAUAUACCUAUCGAUUACUACUCCCGAGAUAGGACCCAUAGAGGGUUCACAACCCAUAUACAAUCUCAAUAACCAAUCCAGUCCUGAUAUUCAUAUCUCCUUUUCGGCUCGUGAACUUCGACAUAGGAUUUUUGAAGGGGUCAUAUUUCUGUCAAAAAUUAGUAUUUUCACAGUAGUACCAAUGUCUCAUGAAUGUAAGUAUGAUAUAAGGAUGUAAUGCUCACAACCAAACCAAAAUGAAAAUCUCAAUCCAACCAAUAUACACGCACGUGAGCCAAAAAUCCACUCAAUUGGUCAACCAUAUAUGAUUUCAUAUAAGCAAUGUACCAUUGGAACAAUCAUGCAUAUACGAUAUCAUUAAUGUCAUUUUAAGUCCCCACUUGAGCAUUAUGUCAACUACUAAAGCACCAAAUGCACUUAUAAAACAUAUAAUAUCAGAUAAGCCCCCAUAUGAGCAACUACAACAUAUCAUCUGAUGUCACCAAGCACAAUAAUAUAAGCCCCCGCGUGGUGUCACAACAGUAAUAUUAGAUUAAUAAGCCCCCACACAGGUAUACAAAUCUAUUUAGUUACUCAAGUUCAUUUAUAUUUCACAUAAGUUCUAUAUGAAAGCACAGAAUAAAUACAUAUCCCAAUAACAAAAUAUUGCAGAACUACCCAAACUUAGCUUGUUCAUACAUUAAGACUCAACAACCCCAACGAGUUCAUUUAUACAUUAGAUAUUAUUUAAGACUCGAUUAUUCUAUUAUUUUAAUAAUAGAAUAAUUAUUUCCUAUAGUUUCUUAAACUUCAAUCAUCAUAGUAAAGGCAGUUAUACAAGUUCUAAAGCCCUAAAGUAAGCAUCCAAUAAUAAUAAUCCAAACGUAAGUUACUAGCUACAAUCUAUUCUAAGAAUGUCUACAAGUAAUAAUACUAACUAACUAAGGCAAUAAACUAACUAUAAUUCAUUAUUAAGACUCCGGUACAUGCGAAGAUGCUCUCCAUGUCAUCUAAGAGGGACCCCCAACCUAAACGAAUCACAACAUACCAAUAAUCAAGCAAAUAACACAAAACUUUGGAAAAGGAUCAAAAUACAUCUCAACUUGCCUUAACUGAAAAUCUGCAAAUCCAAAGCAUAAAUCCCCUACUAAAAGCUUAAAUCCUUCAAAACAUCUCUAACCAUGGACAAACUAUCAAAUAUAAUAUCUACACAUCAAAACAAAGUCAACGAUGCCCAUAUUGACUAUAUUAAAGGUGGAUCUAAAAAUGGACCCUAAAAAUGGGUUAAAAAAAGAGGUAAGACUAUAAAUUUAUUUUAGAAAUAUAUUUCCCAUACUCAUAGGAGUAUAUAGCUGAAACCUAUGCCAAAAUGAGUUAACACGAGGUUCAAACCAAAGAAAACCAUUUUCAAGCUUUAUUGGCAAAUCCCUCCUCCACCAAAACCCAUUUUGAGUCAAGAAUUUGAAGUUAAUUUGAAGAUAAAAUCAAGGAAAAAUGAUUAAAAUAUUAUUACAAAACUUACCCAUGGAAUAAAUCUCUAAUCCCCUUUUGAAUCGCCCAAAUUCAAGCUCCUAAGCCCCAAAAAUGGUAAAAAUGUGGUUUGAUUCACAACUUGGGUAGAAAUUACGAAAAUAAAUAGAAAUUCUUGAAAAAUGGGAAAUUGGAGUUCUAGAUUGAUAUACAAUGAUUAUAUGAGAAAAGCAUAUUGCAAAUCAUCAAAUCGAAGAUUUCUAGCUCCAAAAAUAUGAAAUGGGCUCGAUUUUGGACUUAAACUCAGCGAUGACUGCUAAAGUGACCUGGUCAAGUGGUCAAAGUACUUCUAAAGUUGUCAAAAGGGAGCUUUAGUAGUCAAUCAAAUGGUCAACAAACUCUAAAGCGGUUGACUAGGCGAUUUAACACGUACACCAGCACCAAUAAUUUCAUAAACUUAUUUUUGACCCCCGAAACUCAUUUGGAUUCCUAUGAAUAUGAUACAAUGGCAAAAUUUGAUUGUAAAACAUAUUUCGCAUCUAAUUGAAUCAUCAUAUUUAUGAAGAAAAGGUCAUUAUAAAAAACUAACCCUCGAGACCCUAUUUACACAUAUCCAAACCAAGGGUUAAAAUAGGAUCUAAAAUCCACAAAACUGAACCAACUCCACUGCAAACCCAAAUUUGAAAUUCUAGAUUAGUUGGCGCAUCCAGUUUUGCUAUCGAGCACUCAGAUCUUGAUUUGUUGACCGAAGUCAACUAUUAGCUCUUAAAGCCUCACAACGAUCUCAAACUCUCUCAAAACAUUCACGAAGGUCUUGGGAACCAUACCAACUAUUCUCGCAACACAUAAAUCAAGUAGCACAACCAUGGGGAGGAGUAAAAAUGGUCAAAACACAUAAAAUUGAAAAUCAUUCAAAUUUAUGUCAUUACAGUAACCACUACUAAGAUUCACGUUCAUCCUCGAAUGUACAAGCAAGAAAAUAAAAAACAAGUAGAGUGUCAAAAAAUACUCUCGAGAGGUAUCAAACAAGCAUUCCAAUAUAGAGUCACAACCCUAUAACUACCAGUUAUACCAUUAAACUAGAAAUAUAUGAUAUAAGGACUCACCAAGUUAUAACACAAACAUCAAUAGGUUAAAUCAUCAAUAAUGCCGAAAUUCUAAGUAAUGAACUUACUCUACAUUAAUGAUUGAGUCCAAUGCAAUAGAAGUUCGGGACAUGCACGGCUAAUCUUAAACCUGACCAAGGAACCACUAGACAUUGGCUAUAACUAUAAGAUAAAAAAAUCAUCCUCGGACCCACAAAAGCCAAGGCCAUCCAUAAAACACAAAACUACCCACCAAAACACUAACUCAACCUACCUGAGGCCGAUAUUAUCAUUAUCAACAUAUACAACUCAUAGCAACAUGCUAAAAUCGCAAAGAUGAAAUUCAUUCUCAAGACUAUACCAAAACUUAAAAGAGCACACUUAGCACUCAUAGGUCACUAAUACCCAUCACACCCUUACGCACAACACUUAAGGUAGGCGAGAAACAUUAAUAUAACUCUUUAUACCAAGGAUGUGAAAUCUCUAUAAGACGCUAAAUAUGCAAGCAACCCAUCAUGGUGGCAUAUGCAGUCCUCAAUAUCAAAAAACAAUCAAACAACCCGAGUUCUCAAAAAUAUAAUGUCUAUAUACCAUGGACACAAAAUCUAUAAAAAACAUAGAAUGCUCAACCAACUCAUCAUGAAAUCCCAUGAAUGUUCAAGUGAUAUCAAUCACCUAAAGUCCUCAAUAAUCUGGUAGAACUUAAAGCCUCCACAACUAUACACACAUAAGUAACCUGUCAUACUAGAGUGAAUCAAUCUAUGGAGAAAGUACAACAAACACAAUAAAUCUUCGAUGAAUGCCCAAAUCUUAAUAGGAACUUGGGAGAAAUCACUGCUAGACUCUACAUAGCUACUAAUAAACUGCAACACAGAACCCCAAAUUUCAAUCUCAUGCCCAUAGGUAAAUUCUGAACAUAACCAAUUUCCUUAAGCACGAGGAUCCUUAUCUUUACUUAACUCUCUUUCCAAUUAAUAUUCCUUAAUACAAAAGUUGUAAACUCAUAAGGUACAACUUAAAUCCACUCAAUUCCCAUUUAGCAUUGCGUGACACAAUGCCCAAAAAGAAUAAUAUAUACUUAAAUUAAAGCUUAUAAGUAAAAUAUUCCACCAAGCUAUUUAUCUACAAGAGUAAUGAAUGCUACAAAUUACAUUUCCCAUUUCCAUUCGAAAGUCUUCCCAAGUCAAAAGCAAAAAAUGCCAUGAGCUAAAAUCUUUCAACUCUGAUCAAAGAGUGUCUUAAAGCCAAAUAGCUUAUCUGAAAAGGCAAAAGCUAAAUACUAAGGAAUUAGCAAAUCUCAAGACCCAAAUGCCUAAAUUUUUUCCUUAACCAACAAAAAUUCUUAAGUCCAAGCUGUUGUUGGGUCUACAACUAAUGUGUACCACUAGGCACGCUACAAUUUGAGAUGCUAAAACUCUAAGACUAAUUCAUUAUGCACUCUAAAAGUAUACAAAAACCAUAGAAUUAAUCCACCAUAACUUCACAACAUAACCAUCAAGAAUACAAUACUCAAAAUAUCAAAAUUCAAAAUACUCAAAGAUAUUCCACCAAACUCAGUGAUAUAAGCUAAAUGAGUUUCCAAUGUAGGAUCGGCACACCCAAUCUACCACCAAAGAAACAUUUACGAAUAGCAAAAACCAAUAGUUUCAGUAAAAUCUAAGAAUUAUACCAAUACUCAAAGAAAAACAAAUAGACAUAUAGGACAAUAUAGAACCAUAGUCAAACAGCACUAUGGUAUUACAAAGGUGUACCAAGAACCAUACCAAUGGCUACUAUACCAGAAACCCCUAUCUCGAGUACAUCCUAUAGAACAGUAUACUAGGAUCAGAAAUCUCCUGAAGCAAUUGGUAAAGCAUUUCUCUAUCUAAGUUGUAGGCAAUUCCUCCUACAGUGCCCAAAAUCACCACAUAAGAAACAAUCCAAAGAAGUACAAACCCACAAAGAGAGGCUCGAAAAACUCGAACAACCACUCUAAUCUAAUACUCUCCAAGCAUAAUCAUAAAGAUCUUAGCCUCUAUCAGGAACAUCACUAUGAUCUCUAAAUCCCUAGGCCCUGUGACCAACAAAUCUCUCAUAUCUCCACACAAACUCCUGUAAAAACACUCGACCAAAUUGAUCCCAUGAAAGAGAAAGUGAUCCAGCUAGCCUACUCUCUACACAAGUCCUCCACCACUGUCUAGUUGGCCCAAAGAAGUGAAAGAUAGUAAAGCCCACUCUAUUAAAUCCACCAAGACCAGUAUGUGUAACCUCUCAUGGCAACCAAGAAAAAACAUAUAAACAUCAACCCUAAGAUCUCCAUCAAAUUGAAAAGGAUCUGUCCUUAUGAACUAUGCAUAUCUACUUUGUCCUUCUAUAUACAUAAAGGGUAAAAUCAUGGGAUGUGGAGCAAUCCCUUGUAAUAUCUCAUCAAAGCUAGGAGAACCAGUAAGAGCCACAAAUACAUUUGGAAUCUAGAUCCCUAUCAUAUCAUGCUGAACCAAAGUAGAAGCCACCCUCUAAAACCCAAAACUUAAUCCAAAUAAUCCUCAAGCAUAGGUAUGGUCAUAGGUGGCAACUGAACUACACUUAACCCCUCUAACUCUCUAAACCAACCACCACUGAUAGCUCUAGAACUUAAUAGGAAACUCUAACCUAAUCUCUUACUGGUCUAUACAUCCUAAUCCGACCACUACCUUAAACCCUACUUUUAUUGUGCAUCAAAGGCACAACUUCUGAUCUCCAACAACGGCUGAGUGCAUGCUCACCAUCUGUGAGGGGGUAGAUAAGAGAAUUUUUAUUUAUACAAAAUCACAAAUGCAUAAAAUAAAAUGAAGAAUUAAAAAUCUCAUAAAGUCAUGUAGCCUCUCAAAGAUUGAUAAUGAACUUCCCUACAUUGAUCCGCAUGAUUAUACUAGACUCAUCUUGUACUAAAGAGAUCAAUGAACCUAGGGCUCUGAUACCAAUUUCUCAAGACCCAAAAUAGCCACAUGAUGACACUUGUGCACCCUCCAUUACAGUAAGCCUAUCCCAAUCCAAAAAUAGAAUUUAAGAACAAAUAGUAGAAAUACCAGAGAAAUAAAUUCAAAAUAUAAAUAAAGAAGGAAUAAUAUUUAUGAUACAUCCCCGAGCCUGGUUAUCACUAAUACAAGCCUCUAACACUUAUUUGUAAUAAGUAUACUAAGAUAUCUUGUAUGCAAAAGUAAGCACAAGAUAGUAAGGAAGAGAUCUAGGUAAGCUUCAAAUCCGUCUGUCACUACCUUGAUCUCUACAAUGCCAAUGCCAAUAAAAUGAUAUACCAACUAUUACUUAAUCCAAUACUAGCACGGGGUACAAAAAACAAGAAUAAGGAAAAUAAAAGUAAGGGUGAGUACAAAAAUACAUGGGUACCCAACAAACAUCAUUAAUAACCAACCCUGAUCCAAAAUAAUGGAAAGAACCACCACAUCUGCUACCCAAGGUAUCAAAUUAACGUACAACCCAUCAAAACAUAAUACAUAAUCCUACCAGGGUAACUCAAAACAAUGGUCAACAACCAUAACCAGAAUAGGAUAGGCACUAUAACCUAGGUGAGUCAACACUAGCACUUCAUGAUCCAUAAUUAGAGAGAAACACUUAUAUAGAAGACUCACUACUCAGCAUACACAUUUUAGGAUUAAUCAUAUGAUAUCAACCAAUAGUAAUAGGAUCAAAUAAAGGGAGAAUAUCUAAAGAUUCAAAAACAUACUACCCAAGGUGAAAUCCAAUGAUAUCUCAGAUUAAGUCAUAGCCUUACAACAAGUCUCAUAAUAUCUCAAUUCUCAAAUCCAUAUAAGAUGAUAGAAGUAACGCAAUAAAGUAAAAUGGAUACUCAAAACACAACAUCACAAAUAAGUCUCUAACAUGAUAAUACAAUAUAAGAUUAAACACUAACACAUUAUUAACCAUACCAAGAAGAAAAAUACAAUGUAAGUGAUAUAAUACAAUGUAGUAAUGAUAAUGAUGAAGAUGAUGGUAUGAUAUGCUCGAGGUUAUCACAUAACCUCUAUAUUCACCUACCAAGCACUUAUUUUGAUGUAGGUCUCAUUGGGGGUUCACAACCCAUAUAUAAUCUCAAUUACACAUCUAGUCUCAAUAUCGAUAUCUCUUCUCCAGCUCAUGAGCUUCGCCAGAGGGUUUUUGAAAGUAUCAUAUUUCCAUAAAAAAUUAAUAUUUCAACAUUGGUACUAGUGUCUCAUGAAUGCAUGUGUGAUAUGAGGAUGUAAUGCUCAUAACCAAAGUAGAAUGAGAAUCUUAAUCUAUCCAAUAUACACGCACGUGAGCUAAAAAUCUACUAAAUAGGUCAACCAUCUAUAAUUUUAUAUAAGCAAUGUACCAAUGAAAUAAUCAUGCGUGUAAGGCAUCAUUAAUGUCAUUUUAAGACCCCAAUCAGGCAUUAAGUCAACUACCCAAGCAUAAAAUAACUUACAAGGCUAAUAAUAUCAGACAAGCCCCCAUAUAGGCAACAUAUAGCACACCAUUUAAAGUCACCAACCAGAAUAAUAUAAGCCCCCCACAUGAUGUUACAAUAGUAAUAAAGAUGAAUAAGCCCUAUACGAGUAUACAAAUCUAAUUUAUUACUCAAGUCUAUAGAUAUUUCACAAAAGUUCCAUAUGGAAACAUAGAAUAAAUAUAGAUCCCAAUAACAAAAUAUUGCACAACUACCCAAAACUAUCUCUUUCAUACAUUAAGACUCGACAACCAUUACGAGCUCAUUUAUACUCCAGACAUUAUCUAAGGCUCGGUCAUUUUAUCAUUUCAGUAAUAGCAUAAUUAUUACCUAGGAUUCGCUAAACCCCAAUAAUCAUAGUGAAGGCUGCUAUACAAGUUUCUAAAGUCCUAAAGUAAGCAUCUAAUAAUAAUAAUCCAAACCUGAGUUAUUAACGACAAUGUAUUCUAAGAAUGUCUACAAGCAAUAAUAUUAACUAACUAAGCCAAUAAACAAACUAAUAAUCCAUUAUUAUGACUCCAGUACCUGCGGAGAGCUCGCUAUGUCAUCUAAGUGGGACCUCCAACCUAAAAAAAUCACAACAUACUAAUAGAUAAUAAAAUAAUGCAUAAACACUUUAAAAAAAAUCAAGGGGCCUCUCAACUUGCCUUAAUUAAAGAUCCACAAAUCCAAAUUCUGAAUAAAUCCCCAAUCGAAAGCUUAAAUCCUUUGAGACAUCUCCAACCAUGACAAAACUAUCCAAUAUGAUAUCUACACAUCAAACGAAAGCCAACGAUACCUAUAUCGACAAUAUUUAAGAUGGGACUAAAGAAAUUAUGAUUUUCACGCAUAAUUAUUAAUUCAACUAUAGAGUAUAAGAAAAACCCACAACAAUUAACCAAUUAUUUAGGCUAACAAUCAACACCCAUGCAUAAUUCACUACCUAAUCAAACAUAACCCAAGAUAUAAUAUUAGUUGCUCAUGAAAUUAAAGAAAGAAAUUAUACCCAAAUUUGUAUGCACUUGAUCCAUAAUAAUUCCAAUAAGAUUGAACCCAAACUUUAAUCUCUAUUUACAACUAAAAUCUCUUGGAAUCCACUUAAUAAAUUGUUCUUAACUUCAAAAUAAAGUGUUUUUUUCUUCUCUAAAACUGAAAUCUCAUGAAAAAGAAUUGACUCAAUUGUGAAAGGUUUUUGCCAUUUUAUGCUUUGGGAUCCAGCUUCGUAAAAUUCUAUUUCUGCCUUUGUAAAUUUUUCUCUCUUUCGUGAUCGCCAUCUCUUGACUGAGUUCAGGACUUCUAUGAUUGUGGUAGUUAUAUCAUGGUCACCUCUAGUUGACUUGUUAACUAGACAUGAUUGCGACCCUCGGGCAGCGAUCGUGGUACCCAAGGGUUGAUUCUUGGGCCUGGAUUUCAGGUUUUGUUCCUCUUGCUCUCAUUUUAUCUCUUCCAACUUUGUAUCAACUCAUAUUCAUCUAGCUUUCUACAAGAUCACCAACACUAGAAAUUAGUGCAUUUCAAUUGAUUAUUAGCCUCAUAUACACAAUUAUUUCAUUAUAGUGUGCUUGAAUUUUUUAUGUAAAUGAGUGGAAAAGUUGCCACUCAUUAACACCCCAAACUUAAAACUUUGCUUGACCUCAAGAAACACUAUUACACACUCAAUGAGACUACUCAACUAUAAGCCCGCUCUUACAACCAAAUGAUUACCAUGAUUUUAAACUCGAUUAGCACCACCAAUUAACUAUUAAGCAUGGGAAAAACUAUUCGUGCAACUUCCCUUAAGAAUAAAUCACCCUAUCAAGGAUGCAAAAUACAUGUAAGAACAAUCAAGUAACAACUAUUAACUCUCUAGGAGUGACUCUCUAUCAAUAGCAACUCAACUAUACUCUUUUAUCUCAUUUUUAAAAUAUGACAACCUCAUCAACCUCAAAUGGUUUACAUGCCUCCUCACGAAAGAAAGUCCCAAAAAGCAAAAUUUUAACCAUUCAACAAGGUACAAAUGUGAAAGCACUCACCCUUUUUUUAUUAUUCAUUUGCCUUUAUUACUUAGCUUUUAGGUACUCACUUACAAUAUUAUGGCCCAAGAUCACCUCUUCCCAGACUUACCAUCCCUAACUUAGGAUUUGAGCCUCAAGUUGCAUUUUUAAGUUCAAUUAGGGAGGGGUUCAAAGGAAAGAUAACGUUCAAAUGGUUCAAGGCUUGUAAUGCUGUUGCCAAAGAAAGACCCAAAGGUUCAAAAGGGAAUACUAGGGAUUCCAUUCUAGCAUAGGUAGGAUUUUUAGGGUAAAGUGGUUUUCCAUAAACACAAAGAAGUCCUACGAUCAUUGCACCAACCACAUGUAAUCAAGACUAGAUUUGUAAGACCAAUGGGACAAGUUUUAGAUGAUACAAGUACGCAUGAGAAUCAAUCAACUACACUCCCGCAAAUGGUAUGCCAACUUUUCAAGGAGGAUCAAUUGCAUUUCCUAUUAGAGACAAAAGGAGUUAUUUAUAUUGCACUACCUACAAAUGAAUUUGGAGUCAUAAAAAGAAGGUAAAGCAUUGAUACAUAUUGUUCACGUUCAUUCCCUUGAUUUACACAAAAAAAAUUGGAUAAAGAGGGGUGUUUGCUUCGCAUUUCACCAUUCAAGAUUAACUAUUGUUGGCACCAAAUCAAGUCGUCAUCUCACAUUCGGUCUCUCACAAGGGAAAACCAUAUGGCUAUAUAGACUUCACCAUAGGAAUAAUGGCAAUCUUGAAUCUAUAAUGCCAUAGGUACUCAGACUUUCCCUAAUAGUUCAAAAUCCCAACAUGAUAAUUUUCCCUAAAGAAUGUCAUCACUCAAUCUAUCUUAGGGAAAAGCUCAUCCAACACCACAUCAAAGGAGAAAUAAAAAACAACAACAACAACAACAAACCCAGUGUAUUCCCACUUAGUGGGGUCUGGGGGGGGUAAGAUGUACGCAGUCCAUACCUCUACCUCUGAUGAAGUAGAAAGGCUGUUUCCGAAAGACCCCCGGCUCAAGGCACAAGAUAUCACACAAACACAUAGUAAAGCACAGAAGCAGAUGACAUAACAUAAAUACGGCACCCAUAAGGAAUAUAAAACAGAGGAAAGCAGAGGAAAGCACACAGAUUCGUAAUAAGCAUGGAACACUGAAUACGGAAUCAUAACGGGAAUAAAAAAUAAAAAACCCCCACCAAGUAAUUCCCUACCCUAGCGACCCAAUCUGGCCCUACUCUUCUGCCGUAAUUCGCGUCUUCCAGACCUUCCUAUCUAGGGUCAUGCCCUCGGUGAGCUGUAACUGUUCCAUGUCCCGCCUAAUCACCUCACCCCAGUACUUCUUCGGUCUACCCCUACCCCGUCUAAAACCAUCCAACGCUAGCCUCUCACACCUACGGACCGGGGCAUCCAUGCCCCUCCUCUUCACGUGUCCGAACCAUCUCAAUCGUGCUUCCCGCAUCUUACACUCCACUGAAGUCACACCAACCUUCUCCCGGAUAGUCUCAUUCCGAACUCUAUCCCCUCGAGUCAGUCCACACAUCCAGCGCAACAUCCGCAUUUCUGCCACCUUCAUUUUUUGGAUGUGGGAGUUCUUAACUGGCCAACACUCCGCUCCAUACAGCAAGGCCGGACGGACUACCACCCUAUAGAAUUUGCCUUUAAGCUUGGGCGGCACCUUCUUAUCACACAGCACCCCCGAUGCGAGUUUCCACUUCAUCCAUCCCGCCCCAAUACGGUGCGAGACAUCCUCGUCAAUCUCACCGUUACUCUGGAUCACGGACCCGAGAUACUUGAACUUAUCCCUCUUCCCUACCUCCUGUGCUUCUAGCCUCACUACUACCUCAUUCUCCCGCCUCACGUCAUUAAACUUACAUUCCACAUACUCUGUCUUGGUUCUGCUCACCCUGAACCCUUUAGACUCCAGAGUUUGCCUCCACAACUCUAAUUUGUCAUUCACACCCCCUCGAGUCUCAUCUAUCAGGACUACAUCGUCUGCAAAAAGCAUACACCACGGCACCUCCCCUUGGAUACGCCGCGUCAACACAUCCAUUACUAACGCAAACAAAAAGGGACUAAGAGUAGAUCCCUGAUGCAAUCCUGUCAGGACAGUGAAAUGCUCUGAGUCUCCUCCCGCCGUCCUCACCUGGGUUUUCGCUCCCUCAUACAUAUCCUUAAUUACUCUGAUAUAUGCCUGCGGUACUCCACUCACCUCCAAGCAUCUCCAAAGCACUUCCCUGGGGACUUUGUCGUACGCCUUUUCCAGGUCGAUGAACACCAUGUGCAGAUCCUUCUUCCUCUCCCUAUACUGCUCCACCAACCUCCGUACCAGGUGGAUUGCCUCCGUCGUCGAGCGGCCGGGCAUAAAUCCGAACUGGUUUUCCGAAAUAGACACUAUCCGUCUCAGCCUCACCUCGACCACUCUCUCCCAUAUCUUCAUAGAGUGACUCAGUAACUUAAUCCCCCUAUAGUUAUUGCAACACUGAAUGUCCCCCUUAUUCUUAUAGAGGGGGAUCAUGGUACUCCACCUCCACGCCUCGGGCAUCUUUGCCGUCCUGAAAAUUUCAUUGAACAAUGCAGUCAACCACCUUACACCAGCCUCUCCAACGAACUUCCAAAACUCCACCGGUAUCUCAUCCGGCCCCGUCGCCCUACCCCUUCGCAUCCUGCGGACUGCCUGUCUAACCUCGUCUACCUUAAAACGUCUACAAUAGCUAAAAUCCCGACACUCCCCUGAGUGCUCCAGUUCCCCUAACACAAUAGCUCUGUCCCCCUCGUCAUUCAAGAGCCUAUGAAAGUACGACUGCCAUCUCUUCUUUAUGUGGCCGUCCUCCACCAACACUCUACCGUCCUCCCCCUUAAUGCACCGCACCUGAUCGAGGUCACGACCCUUCCUCUCCCUAGCCUUAGCGAGUCGGAACAACUUUUUCUCCCCUCCUUUCCCCUGUAACCCUGCAUACAAGCUCUCAAAAGCAGCCGUCUUAGCUGCCGUGACCGCUGACUUCGCCUCCUUCCUCGCUAGCUUGUACUCUUUCCUGUUUACCCGCUUCUCCUCUUCGUCCUUACUUUCCACCAACUUAGCAUACGACUCUUUCUUGGUCUCCACUUUCUUCCCCACCUCUUCAUUCCACCACCAAUCCCCCCGAUGAUGUCCGGCCCGGCCCCUAGAAACACUUCUCCACCUCUUCAUUCCACCACCAAUCCCCUCGAUGUUGACCGACCCGGCCCCUAGAAACACCCAACACCUCCCUUGCAUUCUCCCUGAUGCACCUUGCCGCCCUGUCCCACAUGCUAUCCACGUCCCCCCUACAUUCCCACACGCCCUUGCCCGCCAACCUCUCCCCUAUCUCCCACGCAUUCAUUGGUGUCAAGCCGCCCCACUUAAUUCUCGGUCUACACUCCUUACUCCUCCUCUUUUUAUUCUUCUUCAUACCCAAAUCCAUAACCAAGAGCCUAUGUUGGGUCGAAAGAGUCUCACUCGGGAUGACUUUACAGUCUUUACACAACGCCCUAUCCCCUUUCCUAAGCAACAAGAAGUCAAUCUGGGUCCUGGCUACCGCGCUCCGAAAAGUGAUCAGGUGGUCGUCCUUCUUCGGGAAGCCCGAGUUCACCACCACCAGCCCAAACGCCCUCGCAAACUCCAAUAGGGUCGCCCCCUCUUCAUUUCUCUCCCCAAAACCAAAACCUCCAUGCACAUCCCCAAAGCCUCCCGGUAGCGCCCCGAUGUGCCCGUUGAAAUCCCCUGCUACCACAAUCUUCUCCGAACUGGGCACGCCUCUCACCACGUCCUCCAAGGCCUCCCAGAACCGCAUCUUCUCCUCCCCCUCCGAUCCCACAUGCGGCGCAUAGGCACUACACACGUUCAGGGUAAACCCCCGAAUGACCAACUUGAUAGUCAUCAACCUAUCGUUGAUCCUCUUCACCUCCACUACCUGACCUCUAAGCUCUUCAUCUACCAAGAUGCCAACUCCAUUCCUACGCCUGUCGCUCCCAGAGUACCACAGCUUGUAACCGUCCACAUCCCUAGCCUUAGACCCUACCCACUUGGUCUCUUGGACACACGCAAGGUUGAUCCUUCUCUUCCUAAGAAUCUUCACCAGCUCUAUGGACUUCCCCUGAAGGGUCCCUAUAUUCCAAGACCCAACCCUCAGCCUACCGUCGCUAUCCACGCGCCCCCCACUUUUCCCUGCACUGCUGCCACAACUGCUUAUUGUACAUGAUCUAAAUGAGGUUGUCUAGUAUUUGCCUAAGAACACUUUUGCCACAUCUCAUUACCUAUCACAAUCAUAAUUCCACUAGACCUACUUCUGUCCUUCUGACCAAAUUACACAUAAAUGUAUCCACCUCUAGAACGGAAGGAAACGCUAACCCAUUCUGACUGCAUUUCUGUCAAGGCACCAUUUUUCACAUGAGCGGACCUGUAUGUCAUAUGGCUGUCUUCAGUUUUAGCAAGUUUUUUGGUAAGUCUUGAAAGAUCUGUCCCCCACAUGGGUUGAGGGAAUAGUCUCAAGUUCCUGUUUUUACAAUGUCUCCUUCAAUGAUUUUAGGCACUUUUUCACCACACGAGCUAACUUUUCAGGUCAAGUUAGGCCCAAGGUCAAGUUUCUUAACAUGGUAUCAGAUUCAAAUCCAACCCUGUUCUUGGUUGGGAUCCUUUAUUCUGUUGUUCAUGUUCCACGUGUCUAGUUCUGAGCACGCAGGGCAAAGGGUGUGUCAGAGUGCCCCAAAUUGGUUGAAGUAAUGGUUAUUGUCUUCUUAUAUGAUGCAGUGUUAUCAAAAGCGAAACGCACAAAAUAGCUCUAAGGCCUAUUGGGGCUUAAAGCGCAUAAUAAAAGCAUGGGCUUCAAUGAAAAAAGGUGCAAAGGGAGAAAAAUACAAAUAUUUAUGUUUAGUCCAAGACUUAUAACUAUAAGCAUGGAUGAGAAAUAUGGAUGAGAAAUAUAUGAACAAAGAAAUUGAAAAAAAAUUACGAUAAAGUGAAAUAUCAAUGUUUAGAGUCGCCUCUUUAGAAGAGACUCAUUGGCAAGGAAAAGUAUGCCUUAGGAACUUGAUCACGACAAUGAAGCGCACAUAAAGCGAAGUGAAUUGCUCAACACGUUUUGAGCCUCGCUUGAGGUCUUAAUCGCACUUUAAGUGCGCCUUUGAUAACAUUGAUAUUGAUCUUGGGCAAUACUCACCUAGUGAGCUAACAUUUGGAGUUCCGUUGGGCUUAAGGUCCAUUUCUUGGUAGGCACUCAGUGGCUAGGGCUAGGGCUACUGAAAAAUUGCAAAAGUUGAAAAAGGGUACUAAUACCAUAUGGCAAUUAAUCGUAAAAGCAAGCAAUACCUAAAGAGGUUUUUAUUAACCCUAUGCAUGUGAUAAAAAAAAUAAUAUACAUCCAUUACAACAACAACAACAUACCCAGUGUAUUCCCACCAAAUGGGGUCGGGGAAGGAUAAAGUGUACGCAGUCCACAGCACUACCUCAGAUGAAGUAGAGAGGUUUCUGAUAGACCCCCGGCUUAGGACAGAUAACAAUAUAAUAAACAAAACACAUAAAAGCAAACAACAACAAAGGAGAAAUAAAAAAAGCUAAAAAUAAAAUACUUAAUACCUUAAAUCUCUAUGCUUAGUGUGAACUAAAUUCAGAUAUUGCAAACAAAAAUUUAAAUAUUGAAAGCCAAUGCGCACACACACAAGGGCAACACAAUAUUCCCAACUUAAAAAAUUAUAGUGUCCUCACUACAUAACACAAAAGCAUAAGAAUUGUCAAAGGGGCUCCCUAAAAAUGAAUCGAGGACUAAUAUGAAAGUUGGACCCACUGUCAUAACCGCAACGUAAUCAGUGCAAUCGUGAUAACGCGAUCGUGAUCCUUGGAUUACGGUCGCAGUACCUGAGGCAUUCUGCUCCUCUUUUUUGCCCUAUUUUUCUGCAUGGCUUCCAUACUUUUAAACUUGAUUUCCCCCUAUUUUUGGCUUUCAAUCUAUCUAAAACACCUGCAAAGCAUCAAAAUUAUAUGAACUAAUAAAAAAUAAAUGGCAUAAAUAUGAAAAUGAUAGGUUGCCUCACAUUAAGUGCCUGAUUUAACAUCAUUGCAUGACAUCUAUUCCUUUAUCCUUUAUUUCUCCUAUUAGAGUAUUUAAAUCAUCGGCCCAAUUUUAGAUCAACAUAUCUUCGAGGUACUUGGGGAAAAGGUAAGGAUUCAAUGAGACAUUCUAUCUCACCACUUCAAAGACUUGAACCUUUUAUCCAACUUCACACCAAACUUUGGAGUAGGCUCAUUAGGUAUCGAUGAGAACAUCAUUAAUCCACUAGUCAGAUAGUGGAUUUUUCACUUCUUAGCCUUCAAGUGAGAGACUUCAUUUUGCCUUUUUUGGAGUAAGAUACUAUAAAAUGUAGGGGUUUUAUUCCUCAUUGCUAAAAUUCUACAUUUGCUUGAGUGGUUCGACUUCCAUCACUUCCGCCAAACAUAAUGUCGAAAAGUGAUUGGAAUGAGGUUGUCUUCCCCUUUUUAGAGUUGUAUUCUUCUUGACAUUCUUAUCCUAAAAUGAACUAGAGUUUUUACGAAGGAUUUUCUUACAUUUUUAUGCAACUCUAGUAUCAUUUCCUGAAUUUCAACAUCCUUCAUUAUUUUUGGUUUGGUUGGUAGGAAAAUCACCAAGAAUUCUUUAAUAUCAAGGUCACCCCCAUCUUUUUUGGAAACCACUUUAACACAAUCAUGCAUAUUCAUUUGAAUUUGGGCAUCAUAUGCUUCAAUUCUUGCAUUCAUUUCAAUUUUCAAUUUCUGAGGUGGCAUUUCAAAUUUAAUCUAUACUUGAAAUUACUCAACAUGAAAUUUGAUGGCUUCAUCCACCAUUAGUAAUAUCCUAUCAAGUUGACCCUUAUGGACUUCAAGUUGUUGAGUUUGAUUCAUUAUCCAUUCUUGACUCACGAUUUCCUCCUUGUUAAGUUUUUAUUCAUCAACUUUAUUUUAAAGAUUGGGCAUAUUCACAACACUUGAAAGAUUAGCAUCCUCACCCACUUCUUCUGAUUUUUCACUUUCCUUUCCAAAUGCCACCAAGGAUUGAUGAAAGACAUACAUUUCCUCCCCUAUUGUAGUUACUUAGUCCAAGAUAGUUAGAAGAAAUACUUUAACACCAUUAUACCUAGUAAAUUGUUCUUACUUUUCCACAUCAUGAGACUUAUCAUACUCAUAAGAAGAACUAGCAUUUGCGUUAUCAUAAAUAGAUUUUGGAAAUCACUCCAAUGUCUAUCUCGACCACCAUAUAAAUAAUAAUCAUACUCCCAGUAUGAUUUAGAUGGUACACACACCUUUUUUCUGGGAGCAUAUUUACAAUUAUGCCAAAAGUGGGGUCUACCAUAAUAUGAACAUGGAUCGUCAAGAUAAGAUUUGCAACUACCAAACUCAUUUUAAUUCCAUGAUACCAUAGUGACAAGCAGACAAAGACUAUAAAUAAAAGUAAACAAAAAUACUAUGGCUAACCCAAGUUCACUAACAACACAAUAAUAGUUAAAACUAUGCCUCACUCCCUGGCAAUAGUGCCAUUUUUUAUAAUGCUAAACUUACACCAUCACUUCGAUGUAAUGUGGUCAUUGUCAAUACAUACCUAACAAGAGUUGGGGUCGAAUCCUUGAGAAGUGCAAGAUUUCUUUCAACAAUAAUGUGUGUUGAAGGUUAACUAUAUGUUAACUCAUUAUGCAAAACUAAAACAAAAUAAGGAAAUUAAACUGGUAGAUUUGAAUGUAAAAGUUGUUGAACAUAAUUACCAAAGUACACUAAUAUGAGGUCAAACACUUGUUAAGUUUAUAAAAUCAAGAUGGAUCUUGGGGUUAUCUUCUCCUAAGUAGUGUUCAUGCAUAGGAAAUCAAGAUUUAGUCCAAUUUUAGCUAAGGGUUUUGGGUAGGCUAGAUUUAGGGUCUUAGUGUCAACCUUUCGAUAAAAUACUAAAUUUCUCUCAUGGGUUCCUUAAAACACCUUAUGAGCGUGACAAGCUUACCAAUCCUCCACCUCAACUUAUCAUCCUUAUUUCUAAGAUGAUGCUAAUGAACUUGAUAAUUCACUUAAUACUCUUAUUUCUAAGAUACUGCUAAUAACAACCUAGUUCAAGGUGUUGUUUGCAAUCACUCUUUGCCUGCAUCCCUCUUUCAAGGAUGAUAUGGGAUCCAAAGAAAUUAGGUUUUUCAUGCAUGAUUCUCAAUUCAAGUAUAGAGUAUGAGCAAAACCCAUAACAAUUAACCAAUUAUUUGGACUAACAAUCAACAUCCACACAUAAUUCACUACCUAAUCAAACAUAACCCCAAGAUAUAAGAUUAGUUGCUUUUGAAAAUAAAGAGAGAAAUUAUACCCAAAUUUGCAUGCACUUGAUCCAUAAUAAUUCAAAUAAGAGUGAACCCAAACUUUUAUCUCAAUUUACAACCAAAAUCUCUUGGAAUCCACUUAACAAAUUGUUCUCAACUUAUGAAUAAAGUGUUUUCUUCUUCUCCAAAACUAAAAAUUGAAUGAAAAAGAAUUUCCUCAAUUGUGAAAGGGUUUUUCCAUUUUGCGCUUUGGUAUCCAGCUCUAUAAAAUUCUAUUUUUGCCUUUGUAAUAUUUUCGCUCUGACGCGAUCGCCUAUAUUGACCUCAUUCGCGACAUCCGUGAUCGUGGUAAUCAUAUCGUGAUCACUUUCUAGUUGACUUGUUGACUUGUUGUAAUUUCGACCAUCAAGUCACAAUCAUGGUACCUGAGGGUUGACUCUUGGGCCUGCAUUUCAGUUUUUGUUCCUUUUGCUCUCAUUUUAUCUCUUCCAGCUUUUUAUCAACUUAUUUUAAUCUGAUUUCCUACAAGAUCACCAAUACUCAAAAUUAGUUCAUUUUAAUUAAUAAUUAGCCUCAUAUACACAAUUAUUUCAUCAUAGUAUGCUUGAAUUUUUUAUAUAAAUAAGUGGAAAAGGGCCACUCAUCAGCCGCUAAAGCAAAACUUUAGCCACUAAAAUGGCAUGGUUAAAUGGUCAAAGUAUCUUUAAAGUAGUCAACGGUUAUUUUAGCAGUCGAUCAAAUGGUCAAAAAUCUCUAAAGCGGCUGACCAGCCGCUUUAGUUCCUACACCUAUACCAGCAAUUUCAAAAGCUUAUUUUUGACCCUCGAAACUCAUUCAAAACCCUAUGGACAUGAUACAAUAGUGCAAAUUUAUUGUAAAAUAUGGUCGGGAUUCAAUAGAAUCAUUAGAUUUAAGGAAAAAGGUUAUUAUCAUAAAAUUUACCCUUGAGUCCCUAUUUACACUAUUUCAAAAUUAAGGGUAGAAAUAGGAUCUAAAAACCAUAAAAUAAAACUAACCUUAGUACUAAUCCAAAUUUAAUAUUUUGCAUCUGCUGGUGCAGUCCAUUUUUCUAUCUGGCACUCAGAUCUUGAUAUGUUGUUCAAAGUUAACUUUUAGCUAUUAAAGCUUCACAAUAAUCUCAAACUUGCCCAAAACCUUCCUAAAGGACUUGGGAAACUGUCAACUAUUUCCAUACCCAUAAAAUGGAUAGCACAAUUAUGAAAAGGGAUAAAAUGGUCAAAAUCAAUAAAAAAAUCAUCCAAAUUUAUGUCAAUACAAAUGAAAAGGUGGUGGUGGCAGUGGCGGCAAUGACAAAAAAGGUAUGGUGGGGUUGGGUAAGGUGGUGUAGGAGGAGGAAUGAUGGUGGCAGUAGCAGUGGAAGCAAAGACAGAAGAGGUGUAGAGGGGGUGGGUAUAGUGGGGAAAGUAGGAGUCUUUUGUGUAAGUAAUAAAACUUGAGGGUUUUAAGAUUAGUAUCAUUAACAUUAAUCUUAAAAUUGUCACCACCACUUAGUAUUUAAGACUUGUGUAACUUUUUUAGAUUUGAAACCUUUUUUUCAUCCUUAAUAAAUUUUUCCUGUAUAGUAAGUAUUUGAUCAUGAAAAUUAAAACUUUUUGGAGUUGGAGUUGGAGUUGUAUUUGUUCAUGAAUGUAAAUUUGAGUUUUUUUUUAAUUUUUGUUAGAGAAGUGGAGUGAAAAAGUGAAACAAGUUUUAUUUGUUUUUAUUUUUUUAAAUAUAACUUCAAGUUGUAUUUGGAAUUCUUAUGAUCAAACACCAUCUUGGAAUAAAGUGAAAAUAAAUAAGAAAAAAUAAAAAAAUUCUUAUAGCCAAAUGAGGCCAUAAAAAUAAUUUUAACCUAUAUAAAUUAUAAUUUUUUUGUUGAAAGAGAUCGGAUGAACCCCUAGACAUAAGCUAGUUUCACGCUUCUAUGUAAUAUGUAGUAGACAAAGGAAAGAUGAAAAGGAAAUGAAAUGGGCUAACUUACAAGACCAUUCUUGAAACAUGGCUGAAUGGGUUUGAAAAAAUAAGGAUUUUUGGAGGAAUUUUUAUGGAAAGAAAAAGUUCUCUAUAUUUUUUGAUUGAUAUAAAUUGAAAGUGUUGAUGCAAUAAUUUGGCAUGUGAAUCUUGAUCAAUGGAUGGGAUUCUUUUUUAUAUAAAAGGACUAAGCAAUACACUAAAGUUUUCACUAUGCUGAGUUUGGGAAAGGUCGAAUUGUAAGAACCUAUUGUGCAUAAUUUCUUAUGAAUUUAUGCAAAAUAUUAUUUUUAUUACUUUGAACUCAUAAUCUCCAAAUCACAUCAUAAUAGCUUUCAACAUAAACAAUACAAGGCAUUCUUAUAUACUUCCUCCAUUAUUUUACUUGGCGCAUAUUGACUUGACAUAUUCCUUAAGAAAAUUUUGAUUAGAUGUGUAUUUUAUUAAAUUAAACUUAUUAAAUAUGUUGUGGAACUUAAAAUUUUACUAUUACAAUUACUUUGCAUAGAUAUUUAAUACUUCCUCCAUCCAACAUUAGUUGUCUACCUUUGACUUGACACACAUGUUAAGAAAUAAUAAAUAAUAAGGGUAAUUUUACUACAUUACCUUUUGAAUAUGCUCUUGUAAUUAUUUAAAUUUUGAUGAUUAUGUGAAAUGUGUGCUUCUGUGUGAUUUGACCAUUUUACCCCUCCCCAUAGUUGUAUUGUGGUGUAUCUAAGGUGUGAGAAUAAUUGGCACAGUUUUGAUGCAUUUUAUUGUGAUUUAUGCAAUAUUGUGGUUUUUAGUGGCUUCAAGAGCCUUAUAGUUGACUUUAGUCAAAAAUUUUUGAUUUGUGCAUCAGAUUAUAAAACAGACUACGCCAGUAAAUUUGAAACAUCAAUUUUAGGGUGGUAACAUGGUUGGUUUGAUUUAAUUUCUUUUAAAUCUUAUUUCGAUCCUCGAUUUGGAAAGUUGUGAUUUUAGAUUUUGGGGGUAAACUUUGUGAAAAUGGCAUUUUUUGAAAAUCUUAAAUAUCCAUUGAGUCUAGAAAAUCAAAUUUAAUAGGUUAGCAUAGUUUGUUUUCAUUGACGGGAUUCCAAAUGAAUCCUAAGGGGCCCAUAGAUACUUGAAAUGCACAAUUCGCCAGCUAGUGCACCACUCAACUUUUGCGCUCGUGAUCGCAAAGUUGCGUUGCAAUCGCGAUUUGUCAUGCAGGUCAUGUGUCACAAUUGCAAUUGGACAUGCGAGUCAAGUGUGGUGAUCAUGACAUCCUUUUUUCUAUUGCGAUACCCCUAUUAUCCAGGUACUAUGAUCGCGACACCUUGUCCGGGAUCACGAUGCCUAGGUAUAUAAAUAUCCAAGUUUCGCUAUUUUUCACCAUUUUUAAGAUUUAGAUCUUAGGAUUUCAUGAUUUUGAGAAACUUUCUCCACUUCUAAGCCUGGUAAGCUCCAUAAUACCUAUUUCAAUUAUUUUCUUCAAUCUUUAUUAUCUAUUUCUUAUUUUAAACUUGAUUAAAGUAUGGAAUUAGGGAUUUUAGCCUGUAAGGCCUAAAAAUGGCAUUUCUCUAAUUUGAGCCCUAAUUUCUACAUGUUUUCACUUGAGUGAGUUUCUAAUCCUAUAAUAAUCAGUUUUUUCUUAAUUUCAUCUUCAAAUUAACUUUAGUUCUCAAUUUUUAAAAAGAUUGUGACAAUUUUAUUUGGUAAAACUUAAAAAUAGUUUUUGUUUGAUUUGGAACUCAUUUUUAACUCAUUUUCCUUAAGAUUUCUUAUGUAGACUCCUAAAAAUAUGGGUAAUACAUUCUUGGAAUAAGUUGUAAUUUUACCCUUCCUUUUCAAAAAACCAUUUCGGGGGUUCGGUUUAUCCCCGACUUGAAACUAAGCAAUAUGAGUAUCAUUGGCUUUCUGUUGAUGCAUAGAUUUUAUAUUUCCAUCUUUUAGUUAAUUUUAGGACCGUUCGUAAGGAGUGAGUCUUUGGGAUUUAGGGCUUUUAUUUUGAUUUUUGGCAUUUGAGGUAGGUUAUGGCUUAACUUCUUUCAGACUAUGCUACGUCGUUUAUUUUGAUACAAAUCAUGUUAAAGGUAUGUGAACUAAUUAUGAAAAAAUAGUUAUUUUAUUGUGUUGUGCCCGUAUGGUGGCCCAUAUGUGAUGUAUUUGGUAGUUUUGGAAUAGUAUGUUCUAUAGGUGAUAGUGUUGGUCCUAUAUGAUGUUCAUAGCCUAUAUGCAUGAAAAUAAUCAUAUUUUUGUAAUGAAAAGCCUAUUUUGGUCUCAAUUUUAUAUUAUGAUGUGUUCAUACACUAUUGAUAUAUAAAUUAUUUUAGUUUUCAUGGAUGGUUGGAAAUAUUUAAUGGAUAUUUGGCUCACUAGGUUGGUAUAUUGGUUGGAUAUGAAAAUACUCAUUAUGGUUGGUUGUGAGCAUUACAUGCUCAUAUCAUGUACAUUCAUGAAACAUUAGUACCACCAUGGAAAUACUGGAAACAUUAAGAAGCACUAGCUUUUUUAAAUAGAAAAUGUAUCAUCUUAUAAAAACCCUCCUCAAGGAUUUGCUAGGGAGGAGAUAUAGUUAUGGAUUGUAUAUGGGUUGAUGAAUACCCCAUGGGUGCUCUGUAGGUAUAUACAGAGGUUGUGUGGCAGUCUUGAAUAUUGUUCAAUGACCUUGUGCAUUACAUCAUCAUAAUCAUUAUUUUUAUUGUAUUUACUUUAUUAUGCUUGUUAUGUGAUUAUGUUCUGCCUUGACUUGUUACCUCUUCCAUUUGUUAUAUCUUUCUUCACUUAUACUUGAUGUCCUUGUAUAUGUUGUCCUUCUGUGAUUUACUUGUAUAUGAUAUAAUGUAUAUGUGUGGUCCUUUUUGGCGUUGUUGCAAUAUAUAUAAAUAUUAUAGAACUAUAAGUGCAAGCGAUGUGGGCUACCAUUGUGGGAUAUUUUCUGAUUGUAGAUGAUGUGCCCUUAGUGUGUAUUUUGUAUGAUAUAUUAUCUACUUGUCUCAGUUGGCCUAAGAUACCUACUGAGUAUAAGUGGAUCAUACUCACUCCUACUAUUCUAUUUUGGUGCAGAUUCUGGCUUUAAUACACCCCAC